UGAAAGGCCACAGUAGGUGAUG
rnacentral:miRNA from 1 species